rnacentral:rRNA from 1 species
AUUGAACGCUGGCGGCAGGCCUAACACAUGCAAGUCGAGCGGAUGAAGGGAGCUUGCUCCUGGAUUCAGCGGCGGACGGGUGAGUAAUGCCUAGGAAUCUGCCUGGUAGUGGGGGAUAACGUCCGGAAACGGGCGCUAAUACCGCAUACGUCCUGAGGGAGAAAGUGGGGGAUCUUCGGACCUCACGCUAUCAGAUGAGCCUAGGUCGGAUUAGCUAGUUGGUGGGGUAAAGGCCUACCAAGGCGACGAUCCGUAACUGGUCUGAGAGGAUGAUCAGUCACACUGGAAGUGAGACACGGUACAGACUCCUACGGGAGGCAGCAGUGGGGAAUAGUGGACAAUGGGCGAAAGCCUGAUCCAGCCAUGCCGCGUGUGUGAAGAAGGUCUUCGGAUUGUAAAGGACUUUAAGUUGGGAGGAAGGGCAGUAAGUGAAUACCUUGCUGUUUUGACGUUACCAACAGAAUAAGCACCGGCUAACUUCGUG